rnacentral:rRNA from 1 species
GACAGAGGGGGCAAGCGUUGUUCGGAAUUACUGGGCGUAAAGGGCUUGUAGGUGGCCAACUAAGUCAGACGUGAAAUCCCUCGGCUUAACCGGGGAACUGCGUCUGAUACUGGAUGGCUGGAGUGUGGGAGAGGGAUGCGGAAUUCCAGGUGUAGCGGUGAAAUGCGUAGAUAUCUGGAGGAACACCGGUGGCGAAGGCGGCAUCCUGGACCAUUACUGACACUGAAAAGCGAAAGCCAGGGGAGCAAACGGG